GAUGAACGCUAGCGGCAGGCUUAAUACAUGCAAGUCGAGGGACAGCACAGGUAGCAAUACUGGGUGGUAACCGGCAAACGGGUGCGGAACACGUACACAACCUUCCUUUAAGUGGGGGAUAGCCCAGAGAAAUUUGGAUUAAUACCCCGUAAUAUAGUUGAAUGGCAUCAUUUGAUUAUUAUAGCUACGGCGCUUAAUGAUGGGUGUGCGGCUGAUUAGAUAGUUGGCGGGGUAACGGCCCACCAAGUCUACGAUCAGUAGCUGAUGGGAGAGGAUGAUCAGCGACACGGGCACUGAGACACGGGCCCGACUCCUACGGGAGGCAGCAGUAAGGAAUAUUGGUCAAUAGACGCGAGGCUGAACCAGCCAUGCCGCGUGAAGGAUUAAGGUCCUCUGGAUUGUAAACUUCUUUUAUUUGGGACGAAAAAGGGCCUUUCUAGGUCAACUGACGGUACCAGAUGAAUAAGCACCGGCUAACUCCGUGCCAGCCGCCGCGGUAACAC
rnacentral:rRNA from 1 species